UUUUAUUUCUGCGUUAGGGAUAGAAAUGGCAUCCUUUUUAUUUUUUUGAUUCCUGCCUUCGCAGGAAUGACAACUAGCAAUAAAAAGAUAUAAUGGAUAGCCCGCUCGAAC
rnacentral:sRNA from 1 species